GAUGAACGCUGACAGAAUGCUUAACACAUGCAAGUCUUUGGCGAAGCUGUGCUUGCACAGCCUAGCCAAGGCGGACGGGUGAGUAACGCGUAAGGAACUUGCCCUGCAGUCAGGGAUAACAGACGGAAACGACUGAUAAGACCUGGUAAAGUCAGGCGGACUCAUGUCCAGCCUGAUGAAAAGAGAUGCUGCAGGAGAGCCUUGCGUCCUAUUAGCUUGUUGGUGGGGUAACGGCCCACCAAGGCGAUGAUAGGUAGCCGGCCUGAGAGGGUGGACGGCCACAAGGGGACUGAGAUACGGCCCUUACUCCUACGGGAGGCAGCAGUGGGAAUAUUGGACAAUGGGGGCAACCCUGAUCCAGCAAUUCUGUGUGCACGAUGAAGGUUUUCGGAUUGUAAAGUGCUUUCAGCAGGGAAGAAAAAAUGACGGUACCUGCAGAAGAAGCGACGGCUAAAUACGUG
rnacentral:rRNA from 1 species